UUUAGAUCAUGAUCCAAAGGCCACUGGAGUUAAGAAAAGGUUCUUAGUUACUGCAGUGAGUGCUACUUUGAUACCCAGCAUAAGCUGAAAUGAAUAAUGUUCAUUUCUUGAGGAAAAUAUGGUGCAUUUGAGAACCAGUGUUCAAAUGAGCAAUAAUCCAGUCUGGCUUCCUUUGUGUUAUCCAAAGCAGCAGCGUCUUCAGCUUCAGAGAUAAGGGUGUUCAUACCCAACCUUGGAUAUCAAACAGCCUUUUUAUUUGAGGCAUUAUUGGUAUUUGCUGAAGACAGUCCCUUUCAGCAAGGGAAGUAACACCUGGAUAUUUCUACUUCAUAAAGGCAGAAUGUGGAAUAAGCUCCCUGGCAGCCAGGUGGAGGUUCAGCCUCUUCUCCCAAACCACCAGUGACAGGACAAAAGGACAAAGUCUUAAGCUGCACCAAUUUGGGACAUCAGGAAGAAUUUCAUUCUGUAAAAGGUGAUUAGAUUUUGGAAUGACCAGAGGUGUGGUCACCAUCCCUGGAGGUGUUUAAGGAAAGAUUGGACAUGGCCACGGUGUGGUUCACAAGGUGGUGUUGGGUCAUAGGUUG